rnacentral:rRNA from 1 species
GACGAACGCUGGCGGCGUGCUUAACACAUGCAAGUCGAACGAAGUGGCGAACGGGUGAGUAACGCGUAAUCAACCUGCUCUUCAGUGGGGUACAACAGUUGGAAACGACUGCUAAUACCGCAUACUGAAGGAGGGGAUUGCGUCUGAUUAGCUAGUUGGGGGGGUAACGGCCCACCAAGGCGAUGAUCAGUAGCCGGGCUGGAAGGGUGGACGGGCAAAUUGGGACUGAGGCACGGCCCAGACUCCUAAGGGGAGCAGCCGUGGGGGAACUUCCGCAAUGGACGAAAGUCUGGCGGAGCCACGCCGCGUGAGUGGUGACGGCCUUCGGGUUGUAAAGCUCUGUUAAUCGGGACGCGGUACCGGAAUAGAAAGCCACGGCUAACUACGUGCCAGCAGCCGCGGUAAUAC